rnacentral:rRNA from 1 species
UACGUAGGACCCGAGCGUUGUCCGGAAUUACUGGGUGUAAAGGGUGCGCAGGCGGGCUUGUGCGUCGAGGGUUAAAGACUUCAGCUCAACUGGAGGAGUGCCCUCGAUACGGCAAGUCUUGAGUGUGAGAGAGGAAAGUGGAAUUCUUGGUGUAGCGGUGAAAUGCGUAGAUAUCAAGAGGAACACCGGUGGCGAAGGCGGCUUUCUGGCUCACAACUGACGCUCAGGCACGAAAGCGUGGGUAGCGAACAGG